AGAGUUUGAUCAUGGCUCAGGACGAACGCUGGCGGCGUGCCUAAUACAUGCAAGUAGAACGCUGACUACUUUAGCUUGCUAGAGUAGAAGGAGUUGCGAACGGGUGAGUAACGCGUAGGUAACCUGCCUACUAGCGGGGGAUAACUAUUGGAAACGAUAGCUAAUACCGCAUAACAGUGUUUAACACAUGUUAGAUGCUUGAAAGAUGCAAAUGCAUCACUAGUAGAUGGACCUGCGUUGUAUUAGCUAGUUGGUGGGGUAACGGCCUACCAAGGCGACGAUACAUAGCCGACCUGAGAGGGUGAUCGGCCACACUGGGACUGAGACACGGCCCAGACUCCUACGGGAGGCAGCAGUAGGGAAUCUUCGGCAAUGGGGGCAACCCUGACCGAGCAACGCCGCGUGAGUGAAGAAGGUUUUCGGAUCGUAAAGCUCUGUUGUAAGAGAAGAACGUGUGUGAGAGUGGAAAGUUCACACAGUGACGGUAACUUACCAGAAAGGGACGGCUAACUACGUGCCAGCAGCCGCGGUAAUACGUAGGUCCCGAGCGUUGUCCGGAUUUAUUGGGCGUAAAGCGAGCGCAGGCGGUUUAAUAAGUCUGAAGUUAAAGGCAGUGGCUUAACCAUUGUUCGCUUUGGAAACUGUUAAACUUGAGUGCAGAAGGGGAGAGUGGAAUUCCAUGUGUAGCGGUGAAAUGCGUAGAUAUAUGGAGGAACACCGGUGGCGAAAGCGGCUCUCUGGUCUGUAACUGACGCUGAGGCUCGAAAGCGUGGGGAGCAAACAGGAUUAGAUACCCUGGUAGUCCACGCCGUAAACGAUGAGUGCUGGGUGUUAGGCCCUUUCCGGGGCUUAGUGCCGCAGCUCACGCAUUAAGCACUCCGCCUGGGGA
rnacentral:rRNA from 1 species